GUUCGAACCAGAGCGAACGCUUUCAAUCGCGAACGACUCUAGUGAAUCGUGUGGAUCGUGAUCGUGAUCGUGAUCGUUUCUUAGGUGAACAUUCCAUCUGUGAAAAGCAUCGAUUAUGGCGAGUCAAGCGAUACCUAUGUCAGAUUAUCCUAGGCAAACCAAUCCUGCGACUGCAAAUACUGUGACUGUCAUCCAAAUGCCACCAGCACAGAGGCCCUUCUUUAAAUGUACACGAGCUGCCAAGAUUGCCACAGCCAUCGUAAUAGCAGGCAUAGUGAUCUUAAACAUCCUGAGAGUCUGCCUUCUGUAAAAUGGAGAAUAUAUUUCUACCGAGAAUCGAGGAGAUGGAUAAUCUACCGAAUUUUGGAGUUUGUGUUCUACUAUCACUAGACACAGUCGAUUCAAUUACUAAGCUCGUCGGCCUGCUGGAACCACGCGAAAUCUCCCAACCAGCAUAAUCUCAAACUACUUAUGAUGAGAACAAUACAAGUGUAUAAUAAGUGUAUAAUAUAAUGAGUCGCUCCAACCGAACCAUCGAGCAAACUGUCAAUCAAUUUACCAAAUUCAUCGAUCUCUCCGAACUAUAUAUAGGAAGCAGACGCAGGACAAUGAAACAAAAUUGUUCGAGUCGAAUCAAAGGACACAUUAACGGCCAUUUUUCGCGGAAGAACUCGUCGAUCGUUGGAGAAGGACAUGGAUGGAAUUAAAAUGUAAAUAGGAAUCGUUGAAAUUGAAUCGAAAGAAACUUCGAUAUCAAUUCUUCCCGGAAGAACUCGUCGAUCAAUGGAGAAGAAGCAGGAUGAAAUGAGAAUGAAAAUGUAAAUGAAGUACAAUAUGAAAGAGAAUUGUACCUGUGCAGUUCUUUAGACAGUCUUCACUUUUUGCCUCGGGAGUAAAAAUCGUCCGAAGAAUUGUGGAAGCAGGAAACCAUUUGUGCGCGAAUAAAAUAUAAAUUCGUUCUACAGUCGGCAGGAAGAGCAUGAAAUAAAUUCGAUAUAGUACAAUAUAUUCAAGAAACUCUGCAGUGGAGAUUAAAGCAACGGGAGAUGCAAUAAGAAGAACACUGCGAAGAACUUUUUGAUCAAAGACGCGUCUUCGCCGAUGCGCUUCCGAUUUCGAAUGAGAAAUCUAGGAAAUACGAAAACAUUUUCUAGGAAGAAAAUAAUUAAGCGAACGAAAUGCACGUCUGGCGUGCGGAUUAAAAUGGCGAUACAUUCAAGAGGCGUUAACGAACGUCCCGGCAAACCGAAUUGCAGAUCCCUGGACGAGACGAGCUGUGGACCAUUCCCGAUUUCUGCAGGCGUUUCGGGAAUCGCAGCGUUUCGAAAUCGUCUUAAGUGUCCGAUAAGCAGCUAGUUAUUAUCCGAGCCGGUUUGCACAUCCGGUUGCCGAACCGUUGCAGCUGAGGGCCGAUUGCACAAAUCCGGAUUAUCCUUCGGCUGUGCGAAUAAUGCUGAAGAUCGUUCCCGAGGCUGAUGCCGUUCAGACGAAAUUUAUGCGAGCAGUUUCUCUGCUCAUCUGCCUUGACAGUGCCCGGGGAACAAUUGACGAAACCGAAAGUCCCUAUUGCUAUCGCUCUUCGACUUCUGAUCCGCGUGGGCGAUAAUAAAUCCGCCCUGUGAUCGUAUACCGUGGAUUUUUUAUGUAUUUGCAACAAAAUUGGGAACCGUAUCGUGACAAACUCGUUGUAAAUAUUAUAAAAGUGCAUUUGGAAAUGUUUUGUUCUCAACGUUCGUCGAUUAAAAUAAACUUGAAUUUAAUUUUUCUCGUGGGGAAUUACUCUAAUAAUAACGUAAACAUUCUAACUGGCUCAUUUGUGGAAAAAGUAAUAGAGCAAGGAGUCGUGACAAUGUAAGAGUACAUUAAUUUCAAUUUAAUAAAGUGGUCGAAGAAGCAAA